rnacentral:rRNA from 1 species
UACGUAGGGUGCAAGCGUUAUUCGGAAUUACUGGGCGUAAAGCGUGCGCAGGCGGUGCUGUAAGACAGUUGUGAAAUCCCCGGGCUCAACCUGGGAACUGCAUCUGUGACUGCAUCGCUGGAGUACGGUAGAGGGGGAUGGAAUUCCGCGUGUAGCAGUGAAAUGCGUAGAUAUGCGGAGGAACACCGAUGGCGAAGGCAAUCCCCUGGGCCUGCACUGACGCUCAUGCACGAAAGCGUGGGGAGCAAACAGG